AGAGAACUCCUUGCGUGAGGACACGUAGUGAACGACCUUCUCCCGUCUUUCUCCGUUUCACUACGCACAUCUCCGGCUUUCGGCAAACCGAACGAAGAACAAAAACAAUAACACAACUUCGGAAAACACAGGGGCAAGUUCUGUACGCUGAUCGAUCUUUUGUACUCUAAAAUUCUUGAAUAAUCUUGCAAAUGGUGAAGCUAGCGUCGGCACGAGAGAACAGAAUGUACGGAACAAUGCUGGGUGGAAACAGAGCAAAAUACAUAAACACAGGGCUUUAUGUGUUUGCUACCAUUGUUCUUAUAGGUGGGUUUGCGGCCUUGUUCUCAAUGGAGCCUAGAUCGGGUUUGGUUUUUGUGUUCAUAGCCUUAGCACUCAUAAUUUAGUUAAUCUUCAUGAUCUCGUUGCCCAUCUCGCUGGGAUCGAUUACCGGUUAACUUUAAUGGGGUAUGAUACGCAGCUGGCGCUUGUGGAGUUUGCGGUUCCUGUAUUUCAGGCCUUGGGGGCUUUGCUUUUGUUCUUGGGUAUCUUUUUCUUUUUCUUCAGGAAGUGAAAGGAUAUGGUUACUACAAAUUGGAAAAGCUGGGCUUUAACAUGCUUAUUGCUGGACCAGUUCUAUGGGUGCUUGGAUCAAUCCACAACUCGUGUCAAAUAUACGACAGCUGAUGGGCAUGUCCAAAUGUUGCGAGCGAGUGUUCAUAUCCUUUUUUAAUGGGUAGUUUGUUGUUCUUGAUUGGUGCCAUGCUUAAUAGCCAGGAUCAAGCUGGGCUGGACCAUCAUGGGGUACUGCUAUUGGGAAGAAACUUGGUGUUGAUGGGCAUCUUUGGAAGUGUUUUACUAUUAAUUGGGGGAUUAACAAAUGUGGUAAAGUGUCCAAGAUGCGGCAAAUUGAUGGACUGCGCCUGAAGAAACUGCGAGGAGGGGCUCAGGGACGUUUAAUGCAUCAGAAAGAAGGGCAGCUGCCGCUUAUUGCAGAAGAACAAUGGAGGAGGCAAAGGGUAAUCGAGGAAACAAAAGCUGUACCUGUUCCUGUUCCAGUUCCAGUUCCAACUUCUUACAAGGAUGUGCUUCUCGGUCAGACUUGAUUGCUUCACUCAUCUACGAGUGAUCAUCACCGGUCUUCUCUGGUCACUUUGGUGCUAUGUGGCCAUCUCUGAUUUUGCUUCUCUCCUGUUACUCACGAGUUUAGAUAUGAUUGAUAUUCUUGUUUAUCGAGGACAUGUAAGAUUUUGGAUGAUAAUAUAUUGAAUUUCGAUAUAUAAUCAAAUAUUAGACAUUGGAUUUGUGA